rnacentral:rRNA from 1 species
GAUCAUGGCUCAGGAUGAACGCUGGCGGCGUGCCUAACGCAUGCAAGUCGAGCGAAGCACUUUGCUUAGAUUCUUCGGAUGAAGAGGAUUGUGACUGAGCGGGCGGACGGGUGAAGGUAACGCGUGGGUAACCUGCCUCAUACAGGGGGAUAACAGUUAGAAAUGACUGCUAAUACCGCAUAAGACCACAGCACCGCAUGGUGCGGGGGUAAAAACUCCGGUGGUAUGAGAUGGACCCG